rnacentral:rRNA from 1 species
AGUGAACGCUGGCGGUAGGCCUAACACAUGCAAGUCGAACGGCAGCACAGUAAGAGCUUGCUCUUACGGGUGGCGAGUGGCGGACGGGUGAGGAAUACAUCGGAAUCUACUUUUUCGUGGGGGAUAACGUAGGGAAACUUACGCUACUACCGCAUACGACCUACGGGUGAAAGCAGGGGAUCUUCGGACCUUUCGCGAUUGAAUGAGCCGAUGUCGGAUUAGCUAGUUGGCGGGGUAAAGGCCCACCAAGGCGACGAUCCGUAGCUGGUCUGAGAGGAUGAUCAGCCACACUGGAACUGAGACACGGUCCAGACUCCUACGGGAGGCAGCAGUGGGGAAUAUUGGACAAUGGGCGCAAGCCUGAUCCAGCCAUACCGCGUGGGUGAAGAAGGCCUUCGGGUUGUAAAGCCCUUUUGUUGAGAAAGAAAAGCAGCAGGUUAAUACCCCGCUGUUCUGACGGUACCCAAAGAAUAAGCACCGGCUAACUUCGUG